rnacentral:misc_RNA from 1 species
GCUCCGUUGGUGAACCAGCGGAGGGAUCAUUAUCGAGUUUAUAACUCCCAAACCCUAUGUGAACUUACCACUUGUUGCUUCGGCGCGCGCUUCGGCGCCGCCGAGGACACUUAAACUCUUUGUUUUUAUAAGCAUUUCUGAGUGGCCGAAAGGCAAAAUACAAAUGAAUCAAAACUUUCAACAACGGAUCUCUUGGUUCUG